AUGGUGAUAAAAACAAAGUAACUUUUCUCUUUGUUUUCUCUUAUUGCCGUAACUAAGCAAGAAAGAAAGGAAAGAACACCAAAGGCACUCGGUCACUUGGUGUUGGGAAUUAAGAUUAAGCUCAAGAGCUUAAGAAGCCUAAUUCGGAUAGGGGAAAAGCUAAACUAACCAAAUAGCCGAUCCGUAGUCGUUCGACGACAUUCGAGAUUGUGGACUCUGAUUACCAGCUCGGGGAUCGUCAGUACUUCAUCACACUAUCUACUAUUAUGGAAACCUUGUGAUUUGGAUUUAGCUUAUGGCAUGUAUAGGAUAGAUUAUACUAGAAUGAUAUCAUAACUAUUGUUUAUAAGCCAUGCGAAUAUGGCAUCCUUUGGAAGUCUACUUUUAUAAGUUAUAAGUUUGAUCUUUGUUUGUGUUUAGAAAUUUAAUUAAAUGAAUAAUCUU